UACAGAGGGUGCAAGCGUUAAUCGGAGUUACUGGGCGUAAAGGGCGCGUAGGUGGUUUGAUAAGGGUGUGGUGAAAGUCCGGAGCUCAACUCCGGAUCUGCCGUGCCGACUGUCAAACUCGAGGGCUGUAGAGGCAGACGGAAUUCCGGGUGUAGCGGUGGAAUGCGUAGAGAUCCGGAGGAAGACCGGUGGCGAAGGCGGUCUGCUGGGCAGUUUCUGACACUGAGGCGCGACAGCGUGGGGAGCAAACAGG
rnacentral:rRNA from 1 species